AUGCACUGCACCGGGAGCCCGCCGGCGCGCCGAAAAUAUUUGCUUUGGCAAGGAGCGAAGGAGAAGGGAGAGACCAGGAGACGGGAUUAUUUUUUGGCGGCUGCUACAAAUCAGCCGACUGAUUUCUUCCAGAAAUCAGUCGGCUUGCUGGCCGCUCGUUCUGCUUUGGUCUUCUCACGUUCAACCGUUGGAUACGCCAACACAUCUAACACAUCUGAUCAGACGGAUGCUUCGUCCUUCUUGCCCCGCGACCAAAACAGCAGAGAAAUCCCCUUGCAGCUCACUUCCACCACGGGCACGAAAAGACCCCGGCUGCAGCGAGCUCCGGCGAGAGAUUUGGCAGAGUCCCCCAUAGCCUCCCCUGCUACAGCGCAGCUCCAAGACUGCCGCUGCAACACAGCACUAGGAGCCACCGGGAUGUUGCUGCGUUGCAAUACCGAGCGCCGCAAAAAAACAUCAAACGCGGCAAGUACGACGCCUCCGGCGACGCUUCAAUGCAGCUCCGGCGGUUUCAGUGCAACUCUGGCGGCGCUCCAUUGCAGGCCCGGGGCGGAGCUCCAAUGCAACUCUGUUGGCGCGGAAAAUGCUCCAAUGCAGCACCGAUGCGUAGCUCAGCCUCCUCCCUCGCGUGCUGCGCUGCAUCACCGGCGACGAGCGGCGCUCGACUGCACCCCGGCCUCCGUGUUGCGUUGCAAUACUGGCAGCGAGCAGCCCAACCUCCCAUGCGUGCUGCGUUGCACCACCGGCGAGCGCCUGCGCAGCACCGACGACGACAGUCGCAUCGCAACGCCUGCAGCACCGUCGAGUCGUCGGUCGCAACACCAAACGCCGGCGGGAGCGUCGAGUUGUCGGGUCGCAGCACCGGCAGCAUCUGAGUCAACGACGAGGCUGCAUUGCAGCACUAGCUCUCGUCGACAAAAAUCACCUCGUCAUGGUGCCGUCGUGUGGACCUUGAGCAGCAGGUGA
rnacentral:rRNA from 1 species